UAACAACCAUGACAAGUUUUAGCGUUGUCCACUUCAACCCAGCCAAGUCAUUAAAGGUUUCCAAAGGAGAGGAUUGUGUUAUGAAGCUGAAUAUACAGUGGCUGCUCCACUGGUAUCCCUGGAUUGCUACACAGGUUUUUAACCACGCAAGCACAGGUUCAGCAGGAUUUUGAUCCAUGGACGAAGGUCUCAGCUAAGCACUGAAAAGAUGUUUGUUACCCUCCAAAAAUAGAAAUAAAAUAUUUACAAAGAGAAUAAUUGACUUUUGCUGUUUACUGCAGGCGAUGGUUAAGCAGGCAGUGUCUGUACUGAGCAAUGCAGUGACCACCUGCCACAAAUGCUGUGAUAUUUGACAGAUCCCUUUCUGCCAAGAACUAUAAUUCCUAUUUAAAUCUAAAUAGAGGAGCCAUGAAUGCAGAUUUCUCAUCACAAAGACACUGGUGUUAAUCCCCGGUACAGAAAAAUAAGAAAAGCCAGAACGUUUUAUUGGAUUUUAUAUGGAAGAUAAUUAAACAGUAUUUCUUCUUUACUUGUUAUACGGCAUACCAUCAACAUUCCUGCUGAAAUCUGUUUAGAAAGAAAGCCAGGAAGUUCUAUUGCAUUUUUAUGCAGAAGAAAAGUCGCAUUUUGUAUACUUGAACUUACAUUAAAAUAACAAAAAGUGGGUAAACAUAAAAUGACCAAUGAAUGGUGAAAACAAACAGAACAAGUAAGGGAAGCAUAACACUAUUCUCAUGCGCUCGGCUUUAUAUUCUAAGCAUGCAAACUACAGAAAUGUUGAUGUGCCUAUGUAUGCAUUGUAUAUAUUCAUGCACUGAGCAGGUCUGAAAGCUGAAACUCCCCAAAGUUAGGGAGCACUGGAAUUAGAUGUGCUUGCACACCCUUAAUUUGGCCUUUUUGACUGUAUACACAUGGAUGUAUUCCCCCCCCCCCCCCCAAAAUGGUGCAGUGUAGGCAGAAAAUUGGCUGGGAGAAUGAUGUAAUCUCUGCGAGAGCUGCUUUGCAGAAGCCUGUUUCUCUCCUGCCCACAAGCCAGUUUGGUAUUUUGGAUGUACCCAAGGAAGUUCUCUGAGCAUGUUUCCCAGCAGAUGUUUUAGGAGUGACUUCACUGUGCAGGGGGUCUGACCUUGUGAGGACACACCAGCCCAUGGACAGACAGUGGCUGGCAAUGCUGGAAGGAUUACAGCGCUUAAAGGCACAUAAGGAUGAUGAACAAGUGGAAAGGAUCUUAUGUCUUUACACCCACAGGGAGUUCCGUGCCUCUGUCCUGUUGGCAUUAGUCAUAUUGAUAAUAGACUGUGUAGGAAAGUGCUGGAAAACACAAAAAGAAGUCGGAGCAAUUCGAAUUGUCAUGGCAAUAUCCUCAGUUUUUCAAGAAGUUUGGUUCUGUUUAGCUAGUCACUUUAAUUUUCCUUCGCUAACUUGUCUCCAUUCUCUGCCAUAAUGAUAAUUCUUUCUAUGACUGUCAGCCCUUUGCAUUGUGACAGCUUAAAUUAAUGUUUUGAUAUUUCUCUCUUUGUAAGAAUACAACAAAGAAGACAACUGCCAAGGAUAGGACAGAAACUGUAUGAAUGUAAAACAGACAUUGUGCACCAAUAAAGCCAGAAGGAAUAAUUUUCACUUUA